rnacentral:piRNA from 1 species
UAGAAAUGCGCCUCCUUCAUCUGGGAGAGA